rnacentral:rRNA from 1 species
AGAGUUUGAUCCUGGCUCAGAACGAACGCUGGCGGCGUGCCUAACACAUGCAAGUCGAACGAGAAAGGGGCUUCGGCUCCGAGUAAAGUGGCAGACGGGUGCGUAACACGUGGGUAAUCUACCUUCCGGCGGGGGACAACAGUCCGAAAGGAUUGCUAAUACCGCAUACGUCAGCGGCGCCUACGGGCGCUGUUGGGAAAGAUGGCCUCUCCUUGGAAGCUGUCACCGGAAGAUGAGCCCGCGCCCCAUCAGCUAGUUGGUGAGGUAAUGGCUCACCAAGGCUAAGACGGGUAGCUGGUCUGAGAGGAUGAUCAGCCACACUGGGACUGCGACACGGCCCAGACUCCUACGGGAGGCAGCAGUGGGGAAUAUUGGGCAAUGGGCGAAAACCUGACCCAGCCACGCCGCGUGAGUGAUGAAGGCCUUCGGGUCGUAAAGCUCUGUGGGGAGGGACGAACAAACUCCGGGCUAAUCACCGGGGUCCUGACGGUACCUCCUUAGCAAGCACCGGCUAACCCUGUGCCAGCAGCCGCGGUAAUAC